UGGGACGGAAGAAGAAGACGCCGCACGACUACAUGGCUGAGUUCUCAGAGCUGUCAGUGAAGCAGCAGGUCCCAGGGCUGUGGCGAUGGAGGCUCUGAACCGCACAUCCCUGCGGCUGCACCCCACAUCCUCGAGCAUCUCUCCUCCAGCCGUCACUAUGGCAACCGCCGCCUGCUGCAGUGGCACGGCUGCUCCGCUCUGCAGGUCCUGACGUUGCCACCCUGCAGCUCGAUGCACCCGUGCUGCUUGCCCACCCGUCCUUCAUCCUCACCAGCACCAGCUAUGGCGUGGUUCCCUCUCUGCCUUUCUACCACAAGCUGCUGGUUCCCCACCACCCUGUUGCCACCAGCUCCCCCGUGAGCAUGGACACCCUCAGGGAAGACUCAACGCCCUUCACAAAUCACCCCUUGGCACUUGCCACCUUCCACAUGAGGGUCGACCCUGCCUCCUCAAAGCAGGCUGGACAAAGAGGGGCUGCACCCUUGGCCUCCAUGAGGCUUUACCUCAUGAGGUUUUGGUAGCACUCAACUGAAUAUAAACUUGUGGAACCUUUUACAGUGCUGCUCUGCACAACAUAGAUAUUGUCAGUUUGAGAGAGUGCACUAGAUGCAGUAUUUUCACUGGCAUGCAGCUGCUGAACAGUCCUGGAGGAACGGAUCCACUGCUGGCCUGUGCAAUGAAGUGAUGGAUUCAUUUGGAAUGAAGACUGAGAUCAUAUGGGAGAUGCUGCUGUUCCCUGAGGUAAAGAAUGACCACUCAGCUGUGCUGCAGUGAGGCCUUCCCUCCUGUGAUGUUAAAUCAGACUGUGGGUUUGACUCCUGGGAUGCUCUACUGGCCAUGGAGCUGCCUGCCAGGGAGAAGACCAGUGCUCCUGGGCCAUGGUAAGGGGUGUAGACUACCACCAGCCACAGUGGGACCGGUGCAAGCGGGUGGCUUUCCCGACAGCUUCCCAAGUGAGGUGAUACGGUACUCCAAAAACAGGAGCACCCAUCUAGUCCGUGCUCAUUUCCCCUCAGUGUACACGGGAAGGUGAUUUCGGUGCUAAACUGGCCUCUGGGCCUCCUGUUUGUUGGGGUUUUUGUUGGGUUUACUGGGUUUUAUAAAUCUUUUCGACAAGUUCUGAUCUAAUUUUCUUGGGGGAAAUGAGACUUCCAACCAUCCCAUGUCAGAGACAUGAGAGACCUUGUCGAAAGGCUGUACAUGCAGGCUAUUUGUAGAGGAGCAACACUUGGGCAUGUCAGUAACACACACUGCAUUGCCGAAGGGGUUUUCGGGAUGCAGGGGGUGACUUUGUCCCAGGGCCCUGCACAAGGGCUGUCACUGAGGCAUGUGGCUGCUGGGGGAGUUGGGAAUAUACUCCACAGAAGAAGAUGGUGCCUUCCACCAUGGGCAGGUCUGCUUUUAAACCAGGUUCUUUGUACCUUUUGACUCAUCUUGAGCUUCUUGCAGAUGUAUGGAUGUGGCUGUUUCUGUCUGUUUCUCAGGCACCACUUUCCAAAAUCUUUUGAAAGCUUUUUUUUUAUUGUAUUAAAAUAAUGUUCUUGCCUUGAGUGUUAGUUUAUAAAUGACACUUCUGGCUCUCAGGAUCCUGCAGUUCAAUCAAUUUCCAAUUCCUACAGAUGGAAUAUAUAUUACUAGAACUAGAAAUAGGGGCGACAUUUAUAACUAAAGCCAAUUCUCUCCUGGAAACUGCUUUUAACGGUGUAAUUCUUCAAACUCAAAGCUGUGUCUUAAGGAUAAAGAUUGCUGCGUCUGCUCCCAGCUUUGUAGCUUUGUGUUUGCUUGAUGAAGCAAAGCAAGUUGUGGCCCUUUGAGGCUUACACUGGUUUAGGAGGACCCUUUCCUUAUCAUAGAAGCAAGACUUUAGUUGCCAGAUGUUGUAAUUCCCACAUGUGCUUUUAUUGUGUUACCAAAAAGAGAAAGAGGGAAACCACAGCUAUAAAAA